ACGAGGGCUAUGAAGUGCAGGUAGAAGAUGGUCAGGAAUGAAAACGGAACUGGAACGACAGACUUAAUCAAGGCCAAGAUCCAUGAGAUCGAUCUGCUGCAGGCUCAUCAUGAUCUUUGG